GGGCCCGCACAAGCGGUGGAGCAUGUGGUUUAAUUCGAUGAUACGCGAGGAACCUUACCAGGGCUUAAAUGUAGUGGGACAGGUCUAGAGAUAGACCCUUCUUCGGACUCAUUACAAGGUGCUGCAUGGUUGUCGUCAGCUCGUGCCGUGAGGUGUCAGGUUAAGUCCUAUAACGAGCGCAACCCCUAUCGUUAGUUGCCAGCGAGUAAUGUCGGGAACUCUAACGAAACUGCCAGUGCAAACUGUGAGGAAGGUGGGGAUGACGUCAAAUCAUCACGGCCCUUACGUCCUGGGCUACACACGUGCUACAAUGGCAGUGACAAUGAGCAGCGAUAGCGCGAGCUUCAGCUAACCUCAAAAAUCUGUCUCAGUUCGGAUUGAACUCUGCAACUCGAGUUCAUGAAGUUGGAAUC
rnacentral:rRNA from 1 species